rnacentral:rRNA from 1 species
UAGAGGGUGCAAACGUUGCUCGGAUUUACUGGGCGUAAAGCGCAUGUAGGCGGGCAAAUAAGUCGGGUGUGAAAUCCCUGGGCUCAACCUAGGAACUGCAUCCGAAACUGUUUACCUUGAGUAGUGGAGAGGAAAGCGGAAUUCCGGGUGUAGAGGUGAAAUUCGUAGAUAUCCGGAGGAACACCAGUGGCGAAGGCGGCUUUCUGGACACUAACUGACGCUGAGAUGCGAAAGCGUGGGGAGCAAACAGGAUUAGAUACCCUGGUAGUCCACGCCGUAAACGAUGAGUGCUGGGUGUCUUGGGUAUUGACCCCCGAGGCGCCGUAGCUAACGCGUUAAGCACUCCGCCUGGGGAGUACGGUCGCAAGACUA